GCAGAAUCAUGGAUGGAGUGGCCACAGCGCAACCCUCACGGCAGAGGGUUACUGCAGUCGUCGAGGUAGUCUGUGUGAGGCUGGUUUGGGCAUUAUCCACUGCCUCCUUCAUUCUCCAGACCAAGCCCAGCACCAUGAAGAAUAUCAAGUGCAUAUUUAAUGAAAAUGGAAGACAUUGGAAGAUCUUUUCUUAGCCA